GCCAGAAGCAUAUCUCCCUGCAGUUCUCGCCUGGUUUCCCAGUGACGUUAAGCAGGGUUGAGCCUGGCCAGUACCUGGAUGGGAGAUCUGGGGGAAAAUUAAGCUUGCUGCUGGAA
rnacentral:rRNA from 1 species